GGGCCCGCACAAGCAGUGGAGCAUGUGGUUUAAUUCGAUGCAACGCGAAGAACCUUACCAGGCCUUGACAUCCUCGGAACUUUCUAGAGAUAGAUUGGUGCCUUCGGGAACCGAGUGACAGGUGCUGCAUGGCUGUCGUCAGCUCGUGUCGUGAGAUGUUGGGUUAAGUCCCGUAACGAGCGCAACCCUUGUCCUUAGUUGCCAGCACGUAAAGGUGGGGACUCAUGGGAGACUGCCGGCGUCAAGUCGGAGGAAGGUGGGGACGACGUCAAGUCAUCAUGCCCCUUAUGUCCAGGGCUGCAAACAUGCUACAAUGGCUGGUACAACGGGCAGCGACACCGCGAGGUGAAGCGAAUCCCUUAAAGCCAGUCUCAGUUCGGAUUGAAGUCUGCAACUCGACUUCAUG
rnacentral:rRNA from 1 species